UACGUAGGUGUCAAGCGUUGUCCGGAUUUCCUGGGCGUACAGAGCGCGCAGGCGGUCGUCCAAGUCGCGUGUGAAAGCCCCCGGCUCAACUGGGGAGGGUCACGCGAUACUGGUCGACUCGAAGGCAGGAGAGGGUAGUGGAAUUCCCGGUGUAGUGGUGAAAUGCGUAGAUAUCGGGAGGAACACCAGUGGCGAAGGCGACUACCUGGCCUGUUCGUGACGCUGAGGCGCGAAAGCUAGGGGAGCAAACGGG
rnacentral:rRNA from 1 species